GACGAACGCUGGCGGCGUGCUUAACACAUGCAAGUCGAACGGAAAGGCCCUGCUUUGGUGGGGUGCACGAGUGGCGAACGGGUGAGUAACACGUGGGUAACCUGCCCUGGACUUUGGGAUAACUCCAGGAAACUGGGGCUAAUACCGGAUAGGAUCUCCUUCUGCAUGCUGGGGGGUAGAGAUUUUCGGCGGUUGGGGAUGGACUCGCGGCUUAUCAGCUUGUUGGUGGGGUAGUGGCUUACCAAGGCUGUGACGGGUAGCCGGCCUGAGAGGGUGAACGGCCACAUUGGGACUGAGAUACGGCCCAGACUCCUACGGGAGGCAGCAGUGGGGAAUAUUGCACAAUGGGCGGAAGCCUGAUGCAGCAACGCCGCGUGCGGGAUGACGGCCUUCGGGUUGUAAACCGCUUUCGCCUGUGACGAAGCGUGUGUGACGGUAAUGGGUGAAGAAGCACCGGCUAACUACGUG
rnacentral:rRNA from 1 species